rnacentral:rRNA from 1 species
GACGAACGCUGGCGGCGUGCCUAAUACAUGCAAGUAGAACGCUGAAGGAGGAGCUUGCUUCUCUGGAUGAGUUGCGAACGGGUGAGUAACGCGUAGGUAACCUGCCUGGUAGCGGGGGAUAACUAUUGGAAACGAUAGCUAAUACCGCAUAAUAGUAGAUGUUGCAUGACAUUUGCUUAAAAGGUGCAAUUGCAUCACUACCAGAUGGACCUGCGUUGUAUUAGCUAGUUGGUGGGGUAACGGCUCACCAAGGCGACGAUACAUAGCCGACCUGAGAGGGUGAUCGGCCACACUGGGACUGAGACACGGCCCAGACUCCUAUGGGAGGCAGCAGUAGGGAAUCUUCGGCAAUGGACGGAAGUCUGACCGAGCAACGCCGCGUGAGUGAAGAAGGGUUUCGGAUCGUAAAGCUCUGUUGUAAGAGAAGAACGAGUGUGAGAGUGGAAAGUUCACACUGUGACGGUAUCUUACCAGAAAGGGACGGCUAACUACGUG